rnacentral:rRNA from 1 species
GGGAAUAUUGCACAAUGGGCGAAAGCCUGAUGCAGCAACGCCGCGUGAGUGAUGAAGGUCUUCGGAUUGUAAAGCUCUGUCUUUUGGGACGAUAAUGACGGUACCAAAGGAGGAAGCCACGGCUAACUACGUGCCAGCAGCCGCGGUAAUACGUAGGUGGCGAGCGUUGUCCGGAUUUACUGGGCGUAAAGGGUGCGUAGGCGGAUGUUUAAGUGAGAUGUGAAAUACCCGGGCUUAACUUGGGUGCUGCAUUUCAAACUGGAUAUCUAGAGUGCAGGAGAGGAGAAUGGAAUUCCUAGUGUAGCGGUGAAAUGCGUAGAGAUUAGGAAGAACACCAGUGGCGAAGGCGAUUCUCUGGACUGUAACUGACGCUGAGGCACGAAAGCGUGGGUAGCAAACAGGAUUAGAUACCCUGGUAGUCCACGCCGUAAACGAUGAGUACUAGGUGUAGGAGGUAUCGACCCCUUCUGUGCCGCAGUAAACACAUUAAGUACUCCGCCUGGGAAGUACGAUCGCAAGAUUAAAACUCUAAAGUGAAUUGACGGGGGUCAUA